rnacentral:rRNA from 1 species
AACGAACGCUGGCGGCAUGCCUAACACAUGCAAGUCGAACGAGACCUUCGGGUCUAGUGGCGCACGGGUGCGUAACGCGUGGGAACCUGCCCUUAGGUUCGGAAUAACUCCCCGAAAGGGGUGCUAAUACCGGAUAAUGUCUUCGGACCAAAGAUUUAUCGCCUUUGGAUGGGCCCGCGUUGGAUUAGCUAGUUGGUAGGGUAAAAGCCUACCAAGGCGACGAUCCAUAGCUGGUCUGAGAGGAUGAUCAGCCACACUGGGACUGAGACACGGCCCAGACUCCUACGGGAGGCAGCAGUGGGGAAUAUUGGACAAUGGGCGAAAGCCUGAUCCGGCAAUGCCGCGUGAGUGAUGAAGGCCUUAGGGUUGUAAAGCUCUUUUACCCGGGAUGAUAAUAACAGUACCGGGAGAAUAAGCUCCGGCUAACUCCGUG